rnacentral:rRNA from 1 species
UACAGAGGGUGCAAGCGUUAAUCGGAAUUACUGGGCGUAAAGCGUACGUAGGCGGUUUGGUAAGUCGGAUGUGAAAUCCCCGGGCUCAACCUGGGAAUUGCAUUCGAGACUGCCUGGCUAGAAUGCGGUAGAGGGAAGCGGAAUUUCCGGUGUAGCAGUGAAAUGCGUAGAUAUCGGAAGGAACAUCAGUGGCGAAAGCGGCUUCCUGGACCAGCAUUGACGCUCAGGUACGAAAGCGUGGGGAGCAAACAGG